GACGAACGCUGGCGGCGUGCUUAACACAUGCAAGUCGAACGGAAAGGCCCUGCUUUUGUGGGGUGCUCGAGUGGCGCACGGGUGAGUAACACGUGAGUAACCUGCCCUUGACUUUGGGAUAACUUCAGGAAACUGGGGCUAAUACCGGCUAGGAGCUCCUGCUGCAUGUUGGGGGUUGGAAAGGUUCGGCGGUUGGGGAUGGACUCGCGGCUUAUCAGCUUGUUGGUGGGGUAGUGGCUGACCAAGGCUUUGACGGGUAGCCGGCCUGAGAGGGUGACCGGCCACAUUGGGACUGAGAUACGGCCCAGACUCCUACGGGAGGCAGCAGUGGGGAAUAUUGCACAAUGGGCGGAAGCCUGAUGCAGCAACGCCGCGUGCGGGAUGACGGCCUUCGGGUUGUAAACCGCUUUCGCCUGUGACGAAGCGUGAGUGACGGUAAUGGGUAAAGAAGCACCGGCUAACUACGUG
rnacentral:rRNA from 1 species